AUGACAAAACCUAAGAGGGGAGGGGGCAUUGGGUUUAGGGACAUGAGUCUCUUUAACCAAGCCCUUCUAGCUAGGCAAGCAUGGAGGUUGAUCCAACGUCCAGAUAGCUUGUGUGCACGGGUGCUAAAAUCUAAGUACUAUCCACACGGGGAGCUUAUUGAUACUGUCUUUGCAUCCGAGGCCUCUCCUAUUUGGCGUGGAAUUGAACAUGGACUGGAACUUCUAAAAGCAGGACUAAUUUGGAGAAUCGGUGAUGGGAGGAAGAUAAACAUCCAGAGAGACAAUUGGAUACCUCGAAGGGAAGGCCUAAACCCAGCCAAGUUCAUUCGAAGGUCCAGACUUCGUUGGGUCAAUCAAUUGAUGCAACUCGAUGGUAGCGGAUGGAACACAGAGCUGAUUCACCAAUUAUUCUAUAUGUUUGAUGCGGAGGAGAUCUGCAGCAUAAGAUUACCUAGAACAGGGGGCUCCGAUAUGUUGGCCUGGCACUACGAAAAGUCAGGCGUGUUCUAG
rnacentral:rRNA from 1 species